GGCCUAAUGGCCCAAUGGCAAGGCGCUUGACUACGAUCCAUACCACAGAUUCGGCAUCAAGAGAUUCCAGGUUCGACCCCUGGUUAGGUCA